rnacentral:lncRNA from 1 species
GUGCGGACCUCCGGGCGGUUGGGGGCGCUGUAGGCGAAAUCCGGGUGGGCGGAAGUCGGGGAGGGGGAGAGGAGGAGGAGGAGGAGGAGGAAGAGAGGCGCCAUCGCGGGGGGCUGUGGGGAGAAACAGCUGUUAGGGGGCGCUAUGGGGCGGGGUUAUGGGGUGGGGUUAUGGGGUAGGGGGGGUUAUGGGGUGGUGGGGGGGGUUAGGGGUUAUGGGGCUAUAGGGCGGGGUUAGGGGGUGGGGGGUUUGUGGGGUGGGGGGGUUGGGGGGGUUAUGGGGCUAUAGGGUGGGGUUAUGGGGUGGGGGGGUUAUGGGGGUGGGUUGUGGGGGGGGUUAUGGGGCUAUAGGGUAGGGUUAUGGGGUGUUAUGGGGUGCUAUGGGGUGGUUAUGGAGUGGUUAUGGGGUGCUAUGGGGUGGCUAUGGGGGGGUUAUGGGGUUAUGGGGUGGAUAUGUGGUGGCGAUGGGGUGGAUAUGGGGUUCUGAUGGGGUUAUGGGGUGGCUAUGGGGGGGUUAUAGGGUGGUUAUGGGGUGGUGAUGGGGUUAUGGGGUGGUUAUGGGGUGAUGGAGCGGGGUUAUGGGGCUAUAGGGUGGGAUUAUGGGGUUAUGGGUGGGGUUAUGGGGUGGUUAUGGCGUGGUUAUGGGGUGAUGGAGUGGAGUUAUGGGGCUAUAGGGUGGGGUUAUGGGGUUAUGGGGUUAUGGGGUGGCUAUAGGGGCGGUGAUGGGGUGGUGAUGGGUUGAUGGAAUGGGGUUAUGGGGCUAUAGGGUGGGGUUAUGGGGUGGUUAUGGGGUGAUGGAGUGGGGUUAUGGGGUUGUGGGGUGGUUAUGGGGCUGCUUAUGGGGUUGUGGGGCUGAGUUGUGCAGCAGAGCCUCCCAGGGCCAUCUGUGGGGCAGAUCUAUGGGGCAGAGCCCCCUCAGUGCCAUCUAUGGGGCAGAUCUAUGGGGCAGAGCCCCCCCAGUGAAAUCUAUGGGGCAGAUCUAUGGGGCAGAGCCAUACCUGUGCCAUCUAUGGGGCAGAGCCCCCCCAGUGCCGUCUAUGGGGCAGAUCUAUGGGGCGAAUCUAUGGGGUACAGCCUCCCCAGUGAAAUCUAUGGGGCAGAGCCUCCUCAGUUACCAUCUAGGAAGCGGAUCUAUGGGGCAGAGCCCCCCCAGUGAAAUCUAUGGGGCAGAUCUAUGGGGCAGAGCCAUACCUGUGCCAUCUAUGGGGCAGAUCUAUGGGGCAGAGCCACACCUGUGCCAUCUGUAGGGCGGAUCUAUGGGGCAGAGCCCCCCCAGUCGGAUCUAUGGGGCAGAUCUAUGGGGCAGAGCCCCCCCAGUGAAAUCUAUGGGGCGAAUCUAUGGGACAGAGUCCCCUCAGUGCCACCUAUGGGGCAGAGCCCCCCCAGUGCCAUCUAUGGGGCAGAGCCCCCCCAGUGCCACCCAUGGGGCAGAUCUAUGGGGCAGAGCCCACCCA